rnacentral:lncRNA from 1 species
UAUUAGAAGGAGAAGGAAAUGGUGUGUCUAUAAACGAUCGAAACGAUCGUUUAUAUAGAAGAGAAAUUAACUGUGCAAAUAGUGCAACGGGCCCCACAUCCUUUAUAAUUUUCAACAUAUGCGGCUCAUAACACUCCCCCUUGGGGACCGGUGUCACUAUCCACUCUCGCUUAACGUCUUCGUUGCCUCGUUAAAAAACCUUUCUAGGAAAACCCAAUGGGAAAAACCAUAGUAAGGUAAAAAGAGUACAACUACGUAAGCUCCCCCUCGAAUGAGCAGUCAUAAAUCCUUCUGAUGAUGCAUUCCAAUGUUACGAACAUGUUUUCUGAAUAUCGAAGUCGGAAGUGAUUUUGUGAAGAGAUCAGCUGCAUUGUCGCAUGAUUGGACAUAUCUUACUUCAAUCUCUUUCUUCUUCACGAGCUCUUGAGUGUAUG